AUUGAACGCUGGCGGCAUGCUUUACACAUGCAAGUCGAACGGCAGCGCGGGGCAACCUGGCGGCGAGUGGCGAACGGGUGAGUAAUAUAUCGGAACGUACCCAGAAGUGGGGGAUAACGUAGCGAAAGUUACGCUAAUACCGCAUACGAUCUACGGAUGAAAGUGGGGGACCUUCGGGCCCCAUGCUUUUGGAGCGGCCGGUAUCUGAUUAGCUAGUUGGUGAGGUAAAGGCUCACCAAGGCGACGAUCAGUAGCUGGUCUGAGAGGACGACCAGCCACACUGGGACUGAGACACGGCCCAGACUCCUACGGGAGGCAGCAGUGGGGAAUUUUGGACAAUGGGGGCAACCCUGAUCCAGCAAUGCCGCGUGAGUGAAGAAGGCCUCGGUUGUAAG
rnacentral:rRNA from 1 species